rnacentral:rRNA from 1 species
UACGGAGGGUGCAAGCGUUAUCCGGAUUCACUGGGUUUAAAGGGUGCGUAGGUGGGUUGGUAAGUCAGUGGUGAAAUCUCCGAGCUUAACUUGGAAACUGCCAUUGAUACUAUCAGUCUUGAAUAUUGUGGAGGUCAGCGGAAUAUGUCAUGUAGCGGUGAAAUGACUUAGAUAUGACAUAGAACACCAAUUGCGAAGGCAGCUGGCUACGCAUAUAUUGACACUGAGGCACGAAAGCGUGGGGAUCAAACAGG